GCCGGGUUGGCGGAACGGCAUACGCGGAGGCCUCAAAAGCCUUUGUCCGAGAGGGCAUGUGGGUUCGAAUCCCACACCCGGCA
rnacentral:tRNA from 1 species